rnacentral:lncRNA from 1 species
AUGCUCACCAUGAGGCUUAUUUUUAGCAAUUUGCUUCUGUUUCUUGCUCUCGGACCCUGUUUCAAGUCCACUGAUGCACAAGAGACAACAACAGAGACAGAUGCAAACAUCACCAUCACAUUACCGAACAAUGACACUGUGGAGUCAAAGUUAAGUUCUGAAAUCACCAUCACCACAUCUGAAAAUACAAUUACUCUACUACAGACAGAAACGGAUCCGCAUAAUCCAGAAACCACACUUGUUAAUCAAGUAAGCACCAUGCUUGAGAAACCAGCAUUUGAGAGUACUCCACCACUCAGUACUGAGAUCGAACAAACAUCACCAGAAUCUGUUCCUGAAACAACAACUGUACAAACAGAGCAGACCACAGUGACCACCCCUACUGUGCCUGUUAAUGUGGAAACAACAGUGACUGAACAAAUAACUUCAGACGCCCCAAGCACAAGCCAAUAUGAAACAAUUGUUGGCUUCACUGAGUUAACCAGUCCUACAGAACGUCCUAUAGAUGAAAUCACCACAGCAGCUGUGGCCAUGACCACUGAUUCAACAGAAGCCCUCGAUCCCACAUCCUUCCUGAUUGAAUCCCCAGCAGACUGGUCUGAGUCUCCGUCCAUCAUCUCCAACCCUGUGGACACCAGCACUGAAACCUCCACUACAAGUCUAACAUCAACUUCUCAGCUCCCUCAAAAUACUGCUGCACCCGUGCACCCGUACUCGAAGUUUGAUGAAGAAUCAGUCUCCAACCAUUUCACCCCCACCACCACCAGCGUAAUUAUCGAGGAAAGCAGUCUGCCCAUACAAACCAGCUGGUUAUUAAUAAUGAUAGUGUGUGUGGCCAUUAUUUUUGUGCUAUGUGUGGGCAUGAUUCUGUUCGUCCAGUGGCGAAAGAAAAACGCCUCAAGAAAUUUCGGCCCCAUGUAUGUAGACGGACAAAGUAAACGGUCCAAGAAGAAAAAAGGGGGGGAGGAUGAUGCAUGGGCGGGGCCUGUCAAUCUGGAAGCGGGAGCUGAAUGUGAUGCUGAGGUACAGGAUGGUCUUCUGCCUAAUAAUGGGAAACCGGAUGGAGAUGAUAUGAUGCUCAGCACAUUCGCCGCUCUGGAUGCAGGAGACAUGUCUAAUGGUGGAGUGGGUGGGGACGGUACCAAGGAGGCUAAGAAAUGGGAGGAGCAGGAGCCUUUGAUUUACAUAGAUGAGGAUGUGAAUGAAGACAAGACAGGAAAAACACUGGCAGAGAACGAGACACUGAAAGGAGAUGAAAAAAGUGAAGAGAAGGGGAUGAAUGGAGGAGAAACAUUCUGUCUCACCACAGCUGUUUAA